rnacentral:rRNA from 1 species
AACGAACGCUGGCGGCAUGCCUAACACAUGCAAGUCGAACGAGACCUUCGGGUCUAGUGGCGCACGGGUGCGUAACGCGUGGGAACCUGCCUUUAGGUUCGGAAUAACUCCCCGAAAGGGGUGCUAAUACCUGAUAAUGUCUUCGGACCAAAGAUUUAUCGCCUUUGGAUGGGCCCGCGUUGGAUUAGUUAGUUGGUAGGGUAAAAGCCUACUACGGCGACGAUCCAUAGCUGGUCUGAGAGGAUGAUCAGUCACACUGGGACUGAGACACGGCCCAGAAUCCUACGGGAGGCAGCAGUGGGGAAUAUAGUACAGUGGGCGAAAGCAUGACCAAGCCAGGCCGCGUGAGUGAUGAAGGCAUUAGGGUUGUAAAGCUCUUUUACCCGUGAUGAUAAUGACAGUACCUGGAGAAUAAGCUCGGGCUAACUCCGUG